rnacentral:rRNA from 1 species
ACGGGGUGCAGCAGGCGCGAAACCUCCUCAAUGCACUAACGUGCAAAGGGGUUACCUCGAGUGCCAUCUGAAAAAGGUGGCUUCUCCUUGGUCUAAAAAGCCUUGGGAAUAAGAGGGGGGCAAGACUGGUGUCAGCUGCCGCGGUAACACCAGCCCCUCGAGUGGUGGGGAUGAUUAUUUGGCCUAAAGCGUCCGUAGCCGGCCGGGUAAGUUUCCCGUUAAAUCCAACGUCUCAAGCGUUGGACCGCGGGAAAUACUGCCUGGCUAGAGAGUGGGAGAGGUAAGCGGUAUUCUGGGGGUAGGGGCGAAAUCCUUUGAUCCCCGGAGGACCACCAGUGGCGAAGGCUGCUUACUAGAACACGUCUGACGGUCAGGGACGAAAGCUGGGGUAGCGAACCGGAUUAGAUACCCGGGUAGUCCCAGCUGUAAACGAUGCAUGCUAGGUGUUGGGUUGGCCACGAGCCACCCCAGUGCCGCAGGGAAGCCGUUAAGCAUGCCGCCUGGGAAGUACGAUCGCAAGAUUGAAACUUAAAGGAAUUGGCGGGGGAGCAC